rnacentral:rRNA from 1 species
UACGUAGGGGGCGAGCGUUGUCCGGAAUGACUGGGCGUAAAGGGCGCGUAGGCGGCGGAUUAAGUCUGGAGUGAAAGUCCUGCUUUCAAGGUGGGAAUUGCUUUGGAUACUGGUCGGCUUGAGUGCGGAAGAGGCAAGUGGAAUUCCCAGUGUAGCGGUGAAAUGCGUAGAGAUUGGGAGGAACACCAGUGGCGAAGGCGACUUGCUGGGCCGUAACUGACGCUGAAGCGCGAAAGCGUGGGGAGCGAACAGG